AAGCGUGCGCAGGCGGUUAUGUAAGACAGAUGUGAAAUCCCCGGGCUCAACCUGGGAACUGCAUUUGUGACUGCAUGGCUAGAGUACGGUAGAGGGGGAUGGAAUUCCGCGUGUAGCAGUGAAAUGCGUAGAUAUGCGGAGGAACACCGAUGGCGAAGGCAAUCCCCUGGACCUGUACUGACGCUCAUGCACGAAAGCGUGGGGAGCAAACAGGAUUAGAUACCCUUGGU
rnacentral:rRNA from 1 species